rnacentral:rRNA from 1 species
CAGCCGUAAACAAUGUGCGUUAGGUGUGUCGGUAACCACGCGUUACUGAUGCGCCGAAGAGAAAUCGUGAAACGCACCACCUGGGAAGUACGGUCGCAAGGCUGAAACUUAAAGGAAUUGGCGGGGGGAGCACCACAACAGGUGGAGCCUGCGGUUUAAUUGGAUUCAACGCCGGACAUCUCACCGGAUAAGACAGCUGAAUGAUUGUCAAUCUGAAGGUUUUACAUGACUAGCUGAGAGGUGGUGCAUGGCGUAGACGUCU